UAGGCAGGGUAUGGGCACUCUGGUCGAGAAUAUGUUGCCCUGGUGACCCGCUUGAAGCAAAUGGAGGCUAUUUCUUGUCUUUCAGGCUAGAGUACCAAAUAGUUGGGAACAGAUAAGAAGGACCCAUUGAGAGCAAUGAAGGUCACACCCAAAGAGAGGUUUGGCUUGUUCUCCUUCUCAUCCUCAGUGACAAAAAUUCUCCAUUAGCUGCUUUUUAUAGUUCAAUAAAUGGGAAGCUAUUUUAAUACCCCAUAUAGCUAUCUAUUGUCCUUUUUGUGGUGGGACGACAAUAUUGAACCUGCUUCAGUUUAGGCAACAGCUCCCGUGCAUUCCCUACUGACACAUUUUAUUCCUCAUCCAGCUUGGAAAUUUCUGUUCUCUUAAUUAUGGUAUGAUCCAUGUGAUAUGAUCCAUGUGUCCACAGGACUAGUACUCAAGGUCAUUUGGACAUUUGGGGGGGGGGUCAAAAUUUAGAGGACAGAUAAGAGAGGAUGAAUCUGCAGGAAAUUGCUUUCCUCAGCUGCAAAUAUUUAGGAAGCUAUGUGAUUAUGUUCUGUAUUAAUUUGUCUUCAAUUAAAAGUUGAAUCAGUAUGUAAUUUCUUAAUUUUUCAAUGAAUUCCUGAAAUUAAAUGCAGAUUUUAUACAUAAAACUCAGUUGGUCUCUUGGUCAUAUUCAGUAAAACAGUGCUCUUACUUUCAGUUAGGUUUAGUGAAGCUGCGCUAUGCUUGUUAUAUCAGCUAUGUGUUCUAAUAUGAGAUCUAUGAGAAUAUAGCCUACACUUUCUUCUGUGGUUAUCUGAUCAUUGCAGAAUGUGUCAUAGCAAGGCGAAGCACCAAUUGGACUGUUGCCCCUCCUGCAUUUUCCCAUGACAACACUAAAUGAUUAUGGUAACCAAGAUCCCCCUCUGAAGAAUAUUAAGUCUUUCCUGACACAUCAUCUCUUCUACUUCAGCUGCACGUGUGUUAUCUGAUAACUAUUGGGUCAUGAAGUGUCACCAUUUCAUAAUUUCAGCCGACUCUCUGCACACAUACAUACCCAUCCUUUGGUGGCCACACUACCUAUAUAUGGCUUACAUAUCUGAACAGGAAACCCAGUUGAGCUGAAGCGCCCGACUUACCCGCCAACCCAGCAAAAACAAGAGGGCCCAAACCAGCCCUUUCAGACCUCAAAAGCAUUGCUGUGCGUGAGGCACCUCUUACUACCAGCAAGGCCUGCCUUUAACAAAAUCCCCCAUGACCUUGCAAGCAAACUAUGCUAUUCUUAAGUGGAUUUCUAAUUAAUUAAGCGACCUGAAC
rnacentral:lncRNA from 1 species